UUUCCGUAGGUGAACCUUCGGAAGGAUCAUUACCGAAAUGCAGCGGGGGCAGACGGCCGCAAGGUCGCCGGCCGCCGCGUACACGCAUUCCACCACCCUUGACUUUGAGCACCGUUAUGUUUCCUCGGCAGGGACGCCUGCCAGCGGGGACCCAUCGAACACUUGUAGUAGCAGUAUUUGUCUGAGAAUAAACACAAAAAUCAAAACUUUCAACAAUGGAUCUCUUGGUUCUGGCAUCGAUGAAGAACGCAGC
rnacentral:misc_RNA from 1 species